GAGGGAACUGGGCUUGUAUGGAGUGAUGUCCUCGAAUGUAAGUGUAAUGAAUCAAGCUUAUCGGACUGUGCCAUGUCUUCAGCCACUCAUCGUUGCAACAACAGAAGGGACGUUAUUGUGAUCUGUUCUGGUAUGACCCCUCUGUCCGUCAACUAGACCGUUCUUCUGUGGUGGACUCGUCACGCUGGCAUGAGUGGACACACGCACACAAGCUCCCACCGACCCUGCUAUAACACUGGAAACACGGACCACGACUGGUGCAUGGAAAGGACAGAUGCUCUGGCCGAGUGGAAAUUCUACACGGAGAGCAGUGGGGAACAAUCUGCGAUGUAUACUUCACCUUGGAAGAUGCUGCCGUAGUCUGUGAACAUCUAAAGUGUGGUGCAGUUACUGCGGGCCUUGGAGGUGCGCACUUUGGUGAAGGAAAAGGUCCUGUAUGGAAAGAACG